CGAGGGGGCACAUGCGGCUUCUGUUGCAGGGCGAGCAGCCCGACACAAAACCAAACCAGGCAGAACAAAGCUCUGUCACAACUGUGCUUCCUGGUUGUCGCCUCCUGCCUGCAAACCACUGAACAUUUUCCGCUUGAUAUCAUCAUGCAGAAAGGGAGAAACGAGACGCAAUGAGAGAUUCAGAUUCCAAAAGAUUAAAGUCAGAUGCUUCUCUACAAAUUGCCUAACCAUUGUCCUUCACUGGUGAGAUAAAAGGAAGAAGUUGCGGGAAGAGAGGAACUACACCAGGCUUCAGAUUUUGGACUGUACGGCAAGACUCUGUAAGAUACUCGGCGUUUUCUUCAUUACGGCUACAAUGGAGACACUGUCCCAG
rnacentral:lncRNA from 1 species